UUAACUAUAAAACAAAAUUAUUUUAUUCCUCCAAUGGAGCUCGAUGUUUCAACAAGGAAAUCCUAACCUGGAUAUAAGUUGUGAAUAUAUUGCCUGUUAACCCAGUUGCGUCCCCAAAGAGGUUAAUGAUGGAGGGAGGUUGGAAGAUGCUCCUGGUCUGGGCUGCCCUCCUGGCCUUCACUUGGCCAGCUGAUAGACUUGUUGAGGAGUUCGUCAAGACACUUCCUCCAAAGGAGGAGCCACCAGAGCACCUUGGGGGAGAGGAGUGCUUCACCUGUCCCUGCCGCCCCUUGUAACAAUAGUGCUCCUCUAUACAACAGCCGUGGUAUUUAAGCAACUCUGGUGCUUAAAAUUUGGAACACUCCUAAUAGCUUGUGUUAUAAGUCAUCAGAUACGAGAUGGUAUACAUCAUGGGCUGUGGUUUCAGCCCUUCGGCACAACACCAGUCAUUCCUUACUGGAUUUAUGUUGUUGUAACAUUAGUAUUACCUAUGGC
rnacentral:misc_RNA from 1 species